rnacentral:rRNA from 1 species
GACGAACGCUGGCGGCGUGCUUAACACAUGCAAGUCGAACGAUGACGACCGAGCUUGCUCGGUCUGAUUAGUGGCGAACGGGUGAGUAACACGUGAGCAACCUGCCCUUCACUCUGGGAUAACCUCGGGAAAUCGGGGCUAAUACCGGAUAUGAGCUCCUGUCGCAUGGCGGGUGUUGGAAAGUUUUUCGGUGAAGGAUGGGCUCGCGGCCUAUCAGUUUGUUGGUGGGGUAGUGGCUCACCAAGGCGAUGCCGGGUAGCCGGCCUGAGAGGGCGACCGGCCACACUGGGACUGAGACACGGCCCAGACUCCUACGGGAGGCAGCAGUGGGGAAUAUUGCACAAUGGGCGAAAGCCUGAUGCAGCGACGCCGCGUGAGGGAUGACGGCCUUCGGGUUGUAAACCUCUUUCAGCAGGGAAGAAGCGAAAGUGACGGUACCUGCAGAAGAAGCGCCGGCUAACUACGUG